rnacentral:rRNA from 1 species
GACGAACGCUGGCGGCGUGCUUAACACAUGCAAGUCGAACGAAGAGCGAUGGAAGCUUGCUUCUAUCACUCUUAGUGGCGAACGGGUGAGUAACGCGUAAUCAACCUGCCCUUCAGAGGGGGACAACAGUUGGAAACGACUGCUAAUACCGCAUACGAUCUAACCUCGGCAUCGAGGAUAGAUGAAAGGUGGCCUCUACAUGUAAGCUAUCACUGAAGGAGGGGAUUGCGUCUGAUUAGCUAGUUGGAGGGGUAACGGCCCACCAAGGCGAUGAUCAGUAGCCGGUCUGAGAGGAUGAACGGCAACAUUGGGACUGAGACACGGCCCAGACUCCUACGGGAGGCAGCAGUGGGGAAUCUUCCGCAAUGGACGAAAGUCUGACGGAGCAACGCCGCGUGAGUGAUGACGGCCUUCGGGUUGUAAAGCUCUGUUAAUCGGGACGAAAGGUCUUCUUGCGAAUAGUGAGAAGGAUUGACGGUACCGGAAUAGAAAGCCACGGCUAACUACGUG